UUCCUCAAAACCUGGUCUUGAGUGACCUGC
rnacentral:piRNA from 1 species